rnacentral:rRNA from 1 species
UACGAAGGGGGCUAGCGUUGCUCGGAAUGACUGGGCGUAAAGGGCGCGUAGGCGGAUGGCACAGUCAGAUGUGAAAUUCCCGGGCUUAACCUGGGGGCUGCAUUUGAUACGUGUUGUCUUGAGUUCGGAAGAGGGUCGUGGAAUUCCCAGUGUAGAGGUGAAAUUCGUAGAUAUUGGGAAGAACACCGGUGGCGAAGGCGGCGACCUGGUCCGACACUGACGCUGAGGCGCGAAGGUCAGGGGAGCAAACGGG